UACGUAGGGUGCAAGCGUUGUCCGGAAUUAUUGGGCGUAAAGAGCUCGUAGGCGGUCUGUUGCGUCGGCUGUGAAAACCCGGGGCUCAACCCCGGGCCUGCAGCCGAUACGGGCAGACUAGAGUUCGGAAGAGGAGAGUGGAAUUCCCGGUGUAGCGGUGAAAUGCGCAGAUAUCGGGAAGAACACCCGUGGCGAAGGCGGCUCUCUGGGACGGUACUGACGCUGAGACGCGAAAGCGUGGGGAGCGAACAGG
rnacentral:rRNA from 1 species